UACGAAGGGGGCUAGCGUUGCUCGGAAUCACUGGGCGUAAAGGGUGCGUAGGCGGGUCUUUAAGUCAGGGGUGAAAUCCUGGAGCUCAACUCCAGAACUGCCUUUGAUACUGAGGAUCUUGAGUACGGGAGAGGUGAGUGGAACUGCGAGUGUAGAGGUGAAAUUCGUAGAUAUUCGCAAGAACACCAGUGGCGAAGGCGGCUCACUGGCCCGUAACUGACGCUGAGGCGCGAAAUCCAGGGGAGCAAACGGG
rnacentral:rRNA from 1 species